ACAAAAACCCCGUAGUCUCCUUUGUUCCCUGUGCUCUUGCGAUCUUGAUUGAUGCAAGUGGCACCCUUCUGCAGAAGUAAAUUUCUUUGCUAAGAGAAUUAAACUUUUGCCUGAGUGCUGGUUUUACAUCACGGCACCGAGCAUUUAUUCCUGGAGCAUUUUAUAUCCAACAAUUCUGGGGGCUCAUCUGGGAUCCCCUUCUCCUUCGAGAAGGGGUCUUCCCUCACUCUACCCAGGGGAAACGCGUCCCACUGUCCUGUUGCAGUGGCCUCAGGGACAGGAGAUCAAGACCCAUCCAUUGUGAUGAAAAAACCUGAAUUCUCAGCAACGUGGGGAAGAAAGGCUUGCAAUACCGUAGCGACCAGGUAACUCUGUGCCAAGAACUCAAAAUUUUCCAGUACAAGCGCUGCUCCUAGAGUUCCCAGUACAUCAACACCAGCCUAAGGAGCCAACCUAGUACUUCCCACCACUGAAACCGCAGUCCAGACAGCAGAGAAAGGAUGGACCCAUCACACCUGAGUCAAGAAAGCACCACUACCCUUGAAGUCUUGGGUCAUUAUUCCAGGGGAAAACUCCCUCAAACUAAAGCUAAGAAAAAUUGAA